CCUACGGGUGGCAGCAGUGGGGAAUAUUGCACAAUGGGCGAAAGCCUGAUGCAGCGACGCCGCGUGAGCGAAGAAGGCAUUCGGUAUGUAAAGCUCUGUCCGCAGGGAAGAAAAUGACGGUACCUGAGUAGGAAGCCCCGGCUAACUACGUGCCAGCAGCCGCGGUAAUACGUAGGGGGCGAGCGUUAUCCGGAUUUACUGGGUGUAAAGGGGGCGUAGACGGCAGUGCAAGUCUGGAGUGAAAGGCGGGGGCUCAACCCGCGGAAGGCUUUUGAAACUGUACGGCUGGAGUGCAGGAGAGGUAAGUGGAAUUCCUAGUGUAGCGGUGAAAUGCGUAGAUAUUAGGAGGAACACCAGUUGCGAAGGCGGCUUACUGGACUGUAACUGACGUUGAGGCACGAAAGCGUGGGGAGCAAACAGGAUUAGAUACCCGAGUAGUC
rnacentral:rRNA from 1 species